GCGGUCGUGGUGGAAUUGGUAGACACGCAAGGUUGAGGGCCUUGUGGUCGCAAGACUGUGCUGGUUCGAGUCCAGUCGACCGCACCA
rnacentral:tRNA from 1 species